ensembl:rRNA 5S_rRNA 5S ribosomal RNA
GUUGAUGGCCAUACUACCCUGAACACACCCAAUCUCGUCUGAUCUCGGAAGCUAAGCAGGGCCAGGCCUGAUUAGUAGUUGGAUGGGAGAGAGAAAGAGAAAGACCAGCUGUUCAGCU